ACAGUCACAUCAUGUUGAAACACCAGUUCCAAUUCAAUCACCGAAGUUAAGCAGUGUUGAGCCUGGUCAGUAACUAGAUGUGUGACUACUUGGAAAUACUAGGUGCU